rnacentral:rRNA from 1 species
GACGAACGCUGGCGGCGUGCUUAACACAUGCAAGUCGAACGGUAAGGCCCUGCGUUUGUGGGGUGCUCGAGUGGCGAACGGGUGAGUAUCACGUGUGUAACCUGCCCUUGACUUUGGGAUAACUUCAGGAAACUGGGUCGAAUAUCGGAUAGGAGCUCCUGCUGCAUGUUGGGGGUUGUAAAGUUUCGGCGGUUGGGGAUGGACGUGCGGCUUAUCAGCUUGUUGGUGGGGUAGUGGCUUACCAAGGCUUUGACGGGUGGCCAGCCUGAGAGGGUGACCGGGCACAGUUGGACUGGGGUGCCGGCCGGAGUGCUUCGGGGGGCAUGGGGGGGGAAUUUUGCACGAAGGGCGGGAGGCGGGAGGAAGGACGCCGGGUGGGGGAGGGCGGUCGUCAGGGUAGAAACCGGUUUCGCCUGGGAAGAAGAGUGUGUGACGGUAACGUGUAAAGAAGCACCGGCUAACUACGUG